GAUGAACGCUGGCGGCGUGCCUAAUACAUGCGAGUCGAGCGAACGGACGAGAAGCUUGCUUCUCUGAUGUUAGCGGCGGACGGGUGAGUAACACGUGGAUAACCUACCUAUAAGACUGGGAUAACUUCGGGAAACCGGAGCUAAUACCGGAUAAUAUUUUGAACCGCAUGGUUCAAAAGUGAAAGACGGUCUUGCUGUCACUUAUAGAUGGAUACGCGCUGCAUUAGCUAGUUGGUAAGGUAACGGCUUACCAAGGCAACGAUGCAUAGCCGACCUGAGAGGGUGAUCGGCCACACUGGAACUGAGACACGGUCCAGACUCCUACGGGAGGCAGCAGUAGGGAAUCUUCCGCAAUGGGCGAAAGCCUGACGGAGCAACGCCGCGUGAGUGAUGAAGGUCUUCGGAUCGUAAAACUCUGUGAUUAGGGAAGAACAUAUGUGUAAGUAACUGUGCACAUCUUGACGGUACCUAAUCAGAAAGCCACGGCUAACUACGUG
rnacentral:rRNA from 1 species